AAAUGGCCGGCAUACACCGGAGAAUCCUGAGAGGAAUAAGCUUCGAUUCAGAGGUGUGCCCAUUAGCCGUGUUGUGAAGAAGGGUAGAAAGCUUCCGGCUGAUUUUCUGUUUGAAUGGGCUUAUUGGGCCUAAAGGCUGGACCAAGCACCAAGGUUCUCCUACACAGAUGCUAACAAGAACAAAGGUAUCACCUGGUCCAAGACUACUCUGUUCGAAUACUUAGAAAAUCCCAAGAAAUACAUCCCUGUGAACAAAAAUGAUUUUAAGCUGGAUCUUCAACGAAAGUGCAGGAGCGCAGGUGACGACCUUUAUUAGCAUUACCUGGAGGAGUCUUACAAAGUGAUAAUGUCAAUCCAGGAAAUUAUAAACUGUACAGUCUUGUAUCAAUUUGCAACUAGUGUGUCCUCAAGGAUGAACUGUUAGAACACAUCUUAUCUCCAUCAUUUUACCACUCAAAGGAGGCUGUGCCCCAAUUUGUGGACUUUAGAGCAUUGGUUUUCAUUAGCUGUCAUACUUAAAUUUUAACUGAUGUCUUGAUUUUAACUUAUUGGCAAGUGCCAGAUAUAGAGGAAACGGGUAGCGAAUGUUUGUUGCAAAAAGAAACACUAUUAAACUGGAUCAGCGCUUU